rnacentral:lncRNA from 2 species
AUGGCUUCCUGGAUGUGCCGCAUGGCUGAUCAGGCGAGGUCGGUGGCAUCACUAGUAGCAAGCAUCAAUAGUCCUCGCCACCGUCGUUGUGCUGGACCCCUCUGUCAUUGGCUGGUGCCCCCAAUGCAGUGGAAGGACUUAGCUCGAGCGGGGCAGUCGGUGGCACAACUCGCGGACGCCAACCUCAUUCUAGAUCUGGCGAUGGAAGUGGUGUGGGCGACGACGAGCUCACGGAUGCCAAUGCCAAAUUUGUUGGCGAGCUCCAUCCGUGGAGCCACUCUCCCCCUCCCCCCCAACCCUGAAUGCCCGAAGCUCCACACCCUUCCAUUGCCG